CCAAGCACCCCUUGCCCGUGCAAACAUUUACUAAUCGCAACUAUGCAAACUGAUCUCACAACGAUCAACGUUUAAAACAAAACUGCCAAAAGCAGGUUCAAAAUCAUUCCUGCAAAUGGAUUCUUCCUGGGAAAAUACUUGCAUCUGGAAUUUAACGAGAGGAUUUAGUAACUGAAUAACUGGACUUUUGUUUAUGAACGCCAGUCUCAAAGAAACAUUUAGAAGAUUUUACAGCUUUGACAGCUGGCUGAGCAGGAAGUGCAAAUUAAUUGACUACCUAAUAUUUUUCAAAAUUACAAUUGAUGUGGCUCUGCUACUGUUGGAGCCCGUUAUCUACAGUCUGGCAGCGUGCUUUCAGGCCGAUCAGGUGAUCUGGCACUUUGCCCUCUCCGAGAUAGUUCCACGAGGUUGUGAAGAAAGCUUGCGGCCUGGAGGCCCAGAAGCCUGGAGACAGGGCACGAACCUAUGAUCAAUUCCCUCUCGUGCCAAUUUUGCCCAUUAAAGUGCCCAGGUAGAUUGAAACCAUCGAGGUGGGUGCGGAGGGCGAUCGAGUAUGCAGUGCCGUCUAUCAGGUUCUUGCUCGCUGCCACCGGAGGGUACCUGCGUGUGCCAAUCUCUCACUCGGUGGCGUCUGCGCAUGCCAAUCUCUCACUCCCUCUCGCUUGCUGCUCCUGAGGGAAGGUCCUUGCGUUCGAGUGAUCUCUCUCUCUCUCUCUCUCUCCCCCUUGAUGCUGUCGGAAAUUGCUGCUGGAGGAAGGUUUAAUCAGCAUUGCUGUCAUAGUCCGAUCCAUGAAGUCCGUAUUCUGGGUCACGGUCUGGUCCAUCGACCCUUGCUCCAGGUUUUUCUAUCUACCCUGUUUCUGUCUUUGUUGAGCUCUAAUUGAGCCAGCUGAUGCUUGUUGGGGCUGGCUGCAUAAAUACCUUCAGAGACCAGGGCAUGGCCGCUGGAUUGUUCUUGUCCUUACUCCUUCUUCCCUUGCUCUGCCUUCUGUUUCCUCGCCUGAAGCCCUGCCUUGUCUUGCCGGUAACUCUUGCCUCGCCUCAACUCUCCAGCCUCCAGCCUUGCCUCAAGUCUCCAGCCUCCAGCCUCGCCUCUAGGCUCAAGCCUCAAGCCUCCAGCCUUCAGCCUCGCCUCUAGUCUCAAGUCUCAAGCCUCCAGCCUCGCUUCUAGGCUCAAGUCUCAAGCCUCCAGCCUUGCCUCUAGUUUCAAGUCUCAAGUCUCAAGCAUCCAGCCUCCAGCCUCGUCUCUAGUCUCAAGUCUCAAGCCUCCAGCCUCGCCUCUAGUCUCAAGUCUCCAGCCUCCUGCCAAGCCUCACCUCGUCUCUUGCCUAGCCUCAAGCCUGUAGACUCCAGCCUCGAGCCUCUUGCCAAGCCAAGCCAAGUCUCUAGCCUCGAGCCUCUUGCCAAGCCAAGCCAAGUCUCUAUCCUCUAGCUUCUAGCCUGAAGACUCCAGCCUCGUCCUGCCUGCCAGCCAAGCCUCGUCCUUGCUUAGUUCUGGGGUCUGAGCCAGAGGCAAGACCCAGGUACUGGGUCCUUGUCCAGUCUCUGGCUCGGAGUCCAAGCCCAGGCUCCUAGCUCUCUUGUUCAGUCCUGUUCCAGGUUCCUGUUUUUCCUGUCCAUGUCUUUGCCAUCACCCUGUAUCUUAGUCCUGUCCCUAGUCCUUCAGUGUCUGUGUCUUGCACUUGGGUCUGUUCCCAGCCGCGCCCGAUGACCGCUGCAUUUUUUUGUUGUUGCUAUUUUCCCGGUGAUUUUGAAUGGUGGUAGCCUGCGGCUAAUGCAUACAGCUGAAAUGAAAUAUCCCUUUUGAUUUUGUGUUUCAUAUUCCGUGUUUUCGCUCAUUGUUUGUUGCUGUUUGCGCAAUUUGUUUUUUUGUGCGUGUAGGGGGUGGAGGAGGUUGAUAUUUUUUCUAUGAUUCUUCAGUGGCUGCCUGUGGGGAAGAUGAAUCUCGGUGUUACUAACUGCAUUCAUUUGAUAAUAAAAGUACUUUGAAUCCUCCUUUCCCCCUUCCCCCUUCUUUGUCAGUCCUGAAGAAUGCUCUCAGCCCGGAACGUUGACUGUCUGUUCAUUUCCAUAGAUGCUGCCUGACCUGCUGAGUUCCUCCAACAUUUUGGGUGUGUUGCUUUGAAUCCUUCGAAUUAGAGGUAGGGUGUAAGACAUCUUAAGGAAGGAGGGAGAGGGUCAGGAGAACGAUUCCAGAGCACCGGGCUUUGUCAUCUGAAGGCAUACACUAAUGACAGAUGAAAAUCAGGGUUGAGUUUUUAAUCCUAACCUUAACCGUAAUGUAAGUUCACGACAGGCUCAACAGUGAUUUUCCAGAAGGUGACCGCAAAGCUGGAGACCAAAGAUGGCCUGUCCUUUGGUUGGAGAUCUGCGUAUGUGCGUGGGAGGAUGUAGGAAGGGAGGAACUGGGCUUGCUUCGCUGUUUGUGCUUUCUUGCUUGGUAUAUUCUGUUUUCAUCUACCUCCUACCCAAGAUCCACAAACCUGACUGUCUGGGUAGGCCUAUUGUCUCUGUCUGCUCCUACCCCACUGAACCCAUGUCCUCAUACCUCGACUGCAUUCUGUCCCCCUUGGUUCAGUCCCUUCCCACCUACACCCACAACACUUCUCAUUCUCUCGAUCUCCUCACUAACUUUCAAUUCCCUGGCACUGACCGCUUCAUUCUCACUAGAUGUCCAGUCCCUAUACACUUCAAGAAGGCCUUAAAGAUCUCCACUUUUUUCUCACGAAAAAAAAUCAACCAGUUCCUCUCCAUCACCAUCCUCCUCCAACUGACAGAACUGGUCAUCACCCCCUAACAAUUUUACCUUCUGCUCCUCCCACGUUUUCCAGUCUCUAGGGGUAGUCAUGGGCACCCACAGGAGCCCCAGCUCUGCUUGCCUCUUCACUGGCUACGCAGAACAGUCCAUGUUCCAAGCCUUUCCCGGUUAUGCUCCUCAGCUCUUUCUCUGCUACAAUGAUGACUGCAUUGGUGCUGCUUCAUGCACCCAUGCUAAGCUUGUUAAUUUCAUGAACUUUGCCCUUAAAUUCACUUAGUUGAUUUCUCACACCUCCCUCCCCUUUCUCAAUCUCUCUGACUCUAUCUCUGGAGACAAACUGUCGAUCUCUUUUAUAAAUCUACCAAUUCCCACAGUUGUGUAGACAAUACCGCUUCCCACACUGUUUCUUGUUUAAAAAAAAUUCCCUUUUCUCAGUUCCUUCAUCUCCACCACAUCUGUUCUCAGGAUGUGGCUUUCCUUUGCAGGAUAUCAGAGAUGUGCUUCCUCUUCAAAGGAUAGCGUUUCUCUUCCUCCACCAUAGAUGCUGCCCUCACCUGCAUCUCCUCCAUUUCCCGGACAUCCACACUCACCCCAGCUUUCCGCCACCUUCGCAGUGAAAGGGUUCCACUUGUCCUUAUCCAUCACCCCAUGAUCUGCCACAUUCAAUCCAUCAUCCUCCACAACUUCCGCCUUCUCCAAACAUACUUUUACGUUCCCUCCUUCUCCUUAUUCUGCAGGGAUUGCUCCCUCUGUGAUUCCCUUGUCCAUUCAUCCUCCCCCACUAAUCUCCCACCCAACACUUAUCCCAGCAAGUGGCCAAAGUGCUACACCUGCCCAUUCACCUCCAUUCAGAACCCCAAGCAGUCCUUCCAGGUGAGGCAACACUUCACCUGCGAAUCUGCUGGGUUAGUUUAUUGUGUCCCGUGCUCCCAGUGUGGGCUCCUCUACAUUAGUGAGACCCAUCGUAAAUUGGGGGACCGUUUUGUCGAGCACCUCUGUUCUAUCCGCCAAAAAUGGAACUUCCUGGUGGCCAAACGUUCCCAUUCCUGUUCCAACAUGUUGGUCCAUGGCCUCAUCUUAUGCCAAGAUGACGCCACCUUCAAAGUGGGGGAGCAACAUCUUAUAUUCCAUCCAAUCUGAUGUCAUGAACAUCGAUUUCUCCUUCUAUUCCCCACUCUGUCCUCUUGCCUCUUCUCACCUGCCUAUCACCUCUUCCAGGGUCCCCUCCUCCUUCCCUUUCUCCUGUGGUCCACUCUCCUCCACUGUCAGAUUCCAUCCUCUCCAGCCCUUUACCUUUCUCACCCACCUGACUUCCCCUACCACCUUCGAGCUUGUCCUCCUUCCCCUCCCCUUUUCAUUCUGGCCUCUUUCCUCUUUCUUUCCGGUCCUGAAGGAGGGCCUUGGUCCAAGACAUCGACUGUUUAUUCACUUCCAUGGACAUUGCAUCUUGUGUGUGUUGCUUCUGUUUUCUUGUGCCCUGCGUUAUUCUGCUCAGCAUGGUGGGCGCGUUGUGUUGGCGCCAGAACGCGUGGCGACACUUGCGGGCUGCCCCCAGCACACCCUUCGGUUGUGUUGGUUGUUCAGUACAUGUUUCAGUGUACGUGUGAUGAACGAAUCUGAAUCUGGUAACUGGAUCAAUAAUUGGUAAUCGGUUUAUUAUUGUCACGUAUACCAAGGUAGAGUGAGAAGCUUCGUUUUGCACACAGUCCGUUCAGAUCAUUUCAGUACAUCAGCACAUUGCGGUAGAGCAAGGGAAAAGGAAUACUUGAUGUUGGAAUUACCCAGAAUUCAUGGGGCAGCAACAAGGGUCAAGUUGGAUUGAUUGCAAUAUUGUUUCAAAGAGUCUAGCACAACAGGCCACACAACCUCCUGCUAUGUUGGAAUUUGUUGUAUCUGUGAUUUCUCAAAGCCUUGGGAAGCAAAAUCUGUCGGCUGAGUUGUGCAUUUUUCAAGCUGGGACCACCGCAAAGUUGCUUGAAGGCAGAGAGCCAGGGCCUCUGGGGGAAAGCUGUGCAGUAUGUGAAAGGACAAAAAAAAAUCAGGCUUCCGGGAGGGAGAGAGGUCUGACUCGGGUACUGAGCAUUGCAUCUAGCCCAGCGCUGCAAGGCUGUCCUGCAGAAAUGACCUGAUGACCAGGCCAGAGUCUGGUCCCCAGGCAAGUGGAGGUCACACAGAUGCAGAAAUCGGUUCCCUGAACUUAAUAGGUCUUUCCACACAAAUACCAGGCACGUACCAAAAGCACAGCCCUCAGCAUUGUUGAGGGUCCCUCCUAUUUGUCCCACAAUCUCUCUGACCUCCUGCAGAGUCAGAAGGUAUUGCAGUAUAAGAACAGAAGAUUUCUGAACCAAUAUCAAUGAGAGCACGAGUAGCAUUAUAUCGUUGUAUAUUUAAAUGUAUUUUUUUGUGUGGCAUAUGAUUGUUUGCUAUCCUGAAUGUGCUGUGUAUGUUUUGCCUCUUGGCCCCAGAGGAACACUGAUUUGUUCGGCUGUAUUCACGUAUAAGUAAGUAAACUUCUACAACUAUGUGUCGUAUGUGCACUUUAUGUCAACUUGCACAUCUACACAAUUUUAUUAUCUGUUAAUAAUAUUGUGCUGAUAUUACUUUAUGUGAUGAUAUAUGGACUGUGUUUUGCACCUUGGUCCCAGAUAAAAAUAGUUUCAUUUAACUGUAUACAGUACAUGUUUACGAUUGAAUGGCAAUAAAUUUAAAGUUGAAUGAGUGUCAGGCAGGGUUAUACAUACACAACAGGAUGUGAUUAAUCACAGCGUUAUAACUACACUACACUGAUGUGCAAACUCAUUAAUAUCUCUUUGAUCAUAAAUCAAUGUCAAAUACUUUACUCCUUUGUACUUUAAACACCAACUACAAAACACCACUUUCGUCAUGUAACUUAGGAGCUUAAUUUUUAUUUAUAGAUACAGCACGGUUCCCUCUCGGCCCAACGUGCCUGCACUGCCAAUCACACUCAUGUGACAUAUUAACCUCCUAACCCAUGUGUUUUUGGAAUGUGGGAGGAAACUAGAGCAUGUAGAGAAAACCCACACCGUCACGGGGAGAACAUGUGAACUCCUGAUAGACAGCAGUGGAAUCAAACCUGGGUUACUGAUAAUGUAAUAAUGUUACACUAACUGCUACACUACCACGCCAUCCAAUAUUAAAUACUUCUGUGCGGAAAAGGGUUGCCAACUAUCAAGCUUUGGCCGGUGAUUAAUCUCAGAUUGGCUCUACAAGCAGUUUAUGGGAGGGAAUUUGGAACAUCAUAAACCAAACUGGGGUGUAAAACUCCUUUGUCUUAAUUGGGUGAAGGGCAUCCCAAAUGAUAUGACAAUUACAAUCACCAAUUCAUCCUGUAACUUCUACAACUGUAUUAUUGAAAUGGGCAUGCUGGCUCCUCCCAGUGAGGGAGGAAGGAGGACAAUGUGGUUGGAGGGAGGUUCAAGUUCCUGAUUGUCAGCAUCUCUGAAGGUACACUCUGGGCUCAACAUAUUGAUGCAAUUACGAAGAAGACACCAAUGGUGAUAUUUCAUUGGGAGUCUGAGGAGACCUGGUACGUCACCAAGGGCUCUAGCAAAUUUCUACAGAUGUACUGUGGAGAUCAUUCUAAUGGACUGCAUCACUGCCUGGUCCUGUGAAGGGUCUCAGCCAAAAAUGUUGACAGUUUAUUCAUUUCUGUAGAUGCUGCCUGACCUGGUGAGUUCCUCCAGCAUUUAUUCUGGUACGGAGAUUCCACCGCACAGGAUCAGGAAACGCUGCAGAGGAUUAUAGACUCAGCCAGCUGCAUCAUGGGCAGUAGCCUCCCAGCAUCGAGGACAUCUUCAACAGGUGAUGCCUCAAGGAUCACUAAGGACCCUCACCAUCCAGGACAUGUUCUCUUCUCAUUACUACCAUCAGGGAGGAGGCACAGAAGCCUGAAGGCAGACAUUCAAUUACUUAGGAACAGCUUCUUCCCCUCUGCUAUCAGCUUUUUGAGCAGACAACGAACCCAUGAACACUACCUCAAUAUUUUCUCACUUUUUGCACUAUUUAUUUAAUUAUUAUAUUUCUUAUUGUAUCUUUUAGUAACUUUUUUGUAUUGCAUGGUACUGCUGCCACAAAACGACAAAUUUCAUGACAUGCCAAUGAUCUUGAUCUUGAUUCUGGGAGGAGUGACAUCUGCUGUCAGAUGUGACGGAAGAGAGAUGACUUGACAGAGGUGUACAAAGUGCCAAGAGGUGUAGAUUGAGUGGGUAGCUAGAGACUUUUCCCAGGGCGAAAGUGGCUAAUACAAGAGGGGUGUGGUGAUUGGUAGUAAGCAUAGGGAGGAUGUCAGAGGUAAAUGCUUUACACUGGUAGGAGCGAGGAUUGGCCUGCCAGGGUGGUGGUAGAGGCAGAUACAUGAGGUACAUCUAAGAAACUCUUAGAAAGGCACAUGGAUGACAGAAAAAUGGAGGACUAGGUAGGAGGGAAGGGUUAGAUUGAUCUUAAGAGUAGGUUAAAAUGUCGGCCCAACACUGUUGGCCAAAAGGCCUGUAUCGUGCCAUAAUGGUGUCUAUGUUCUACCUCCUGAAACCUGUCCAAUCAGAAAUGGUGAGGCCCAUGAGAGCUACUCAAUUUAACCACCAAGUCCACCCUCACACUCCCCUCUGAAGUUUGGUUCAUCACCACAGCCUCACCUAAAAUAAUGGUGAUGGGAUUAAUUUACAAAUAAAAAAUCUCUUGGUUCUUCUCAACUUCCAGAUGAAGGGGUGUGUGACCAGCGGAACUAGUUACAAACUAUCAUACAAUCAGUCCAUUCAGCCUGUGUCCACGCUGGUUGAAAAGGAGAUCUCUGAUCUACUCCCAUUUCCCAGAUCUCAGUCCAUACCAAGCCACAGUCCUGCAAGUGCUCGACCAGAGAUGUUUUAAACACGGUGAUGUUGCUGCCUCAGCCGCCCUUUCAGGCAGUGUUCCAGACCCACCAUAAAAUGUCCCUCAACACCAUCACCCCUCACCAAUUUUUAUCGACACACUACUGGAAGCAUUCUAUCAGGAUGCAUCACAGCUAGGUACGGGAACUGCUCUGCCCACGAUCGCAAGGAGCAAUGGAGAGUUGUGGACACAGCUCAGCACAUCACAGAAAGCAGACUCCCCUCUAUGGACUCUGCCCACACUUCUCCUCGUUGGAGGCUGCAGAUACUGGAAUCUGGAGCAGCAAGCAACCUGCUGGAGGAACUCUGUGGGUCAAGGAGCAUCUGGGUGGAGGGAAAGAGCUGUCAACUGAGGUUGCAACUCUGCCUCAGGGCUGAGUGGAGAAGGGAGACGGUCAGUGAGAGAGGCCAGUGGGUCAUCGGCAGCCUUAGGAGGAGUGUAAGAUAAACAACAGGUUCUGAUAGGGAGGGGAGCUGCCUGUCAUCUUUCACUCCGCUUCAGUCCACCAAUCGCCCCAGUCUCCUGUCUCAUCACUCCUCCUCCUCUUUAUACUCAUCUUGUCGCAGGGCUUCCACCCAGAACAUCAACAAUUCCUUUCUUCCCACCUUCCUUCGUUGUUCUUAGUCAGAAAGUAUAGGGUUAAGUGUGGAGCCUUAUAAGGGGAGGGAACGUCGACUCAGACUAUGAGAGGCCUGCGUUGGGCAUUUGGAAGUCUGUGUGGGGCGCCACUCCUCACACAGACUAGAGCAAUGUGUGGUUAAGUGACUUGCUCAAGGACACAAACACGCUGCCACAGCUGAGGAUCGAACUAGCGACCUUGAGAUCACUAGACGAACUCCUUAACCACUUGGCCACGUGCCCAACACCUUAUAAGACAACUACGAAAUGCAGUGGAUACAACCCAGUCCAUCACAGAGAAAGCCCUCCCCACCAUUGAGCACAUCUACAUGGAGAGCUGUCACAGGAAUUCAGUAUCCACCAUCCAGGCCAUGCUCUCUUCUCACCGCUACUAUCAGUAGGAAGUCCCACACCACCAUGUUUGGGAACAGUUACUGCCUUCCACCAUAAAGCUCUUGAACAGGCGUGAAUAACUUCACUCACCUCAGCUCUGAACUGAUUUUACACUCAUUUGCAAGGAUUCCUGGGCUAAAGUUAACAUUUAUUUACUUAUUUAUAGUAUUUAUUAUUACUCUUGUAUCUGCAGUUUUAUCAGUUUUUGUUGUGUGUAGUUUUUCACAGAAACAUAGAAAUCUGCUGCACAUUACAGGCCCUUCGGCCCACAAUGUUGUGCCGACCAUGUAACCUACUCUAAAAACUGCCUAGAAUUUCCCUACCGCAUAGCCCUCUAUUUUUUAAGCUCCAUGUAUCUAUCCAAGAGUCCCUUCAUCAAAUCUUCUAUUGUAUUUCUUUGUUUUACUGUGAAUGCCAGUAAGAAAAUGUAACUCAGGGAAGUACAUGGUGACAUACAUGUACUUAGAUAGUAAAUUUCCUGUGAACUUUGAAUGACUAUAAACAAGCUCCAGCCUUUUAAGUCACUUCCACUAAAUGCAUUGGUAUUAACAAACAGUGGUGAGUUUAGAAAUCACAAGGUACAGCUGAGUAAACGAGGACUGUUAUCUAUUUCAACAGUGCACUGUGGGGAGCCACUUGACACAAGUGAUGUGGAAACUGAUGACAUAUUUAUACAGACUCUCAAAGAGAACAUGUUUGUAGGUAUAUCCAGUCAAGACGGGGGUAGAGCAGACACGGGGCGUUCCCAUUUGUAAAAUACUUAGAGGCUACAUGUUAAAUGUUACUGCAUGUGUGUGUCGACAGGGUGAAGGGCAGGACGAACGGUCAUGGCAUGUUCAAAGUCAGAGUAAAGUGCAUUAUCAGAGUACAUGCCUCACUGUACACAACCCUGGGAUUCUUUUUCCUGCGGGCAUACUUAGCAACUCUGUAGAACAGUAACUGUAAACAAAAUCAAUGAACAACAAGCUGUGCAAAUGUAAAUAUAAAUAAAUAGCGUUGUACAAAAUAAAUAAAUUGUAAGUGUGACUCUAGAGCCGUCUACGAGCUGUAAGGAAAGGAUGGAAAAGGUAGCAGGCACAAGGAGACAUUGAAGAAACCUGUGUUGU